rnacentral:tRNA from 1 species
GGAGGGUGUAGCUCAAGUGGUAGAGCACAUGCUUAGCAUGCAUGAGGUCCUGGGUUCAAUCCCCAGUACCUCCA